rnacentral:rRNA from 1 species
GAUUACCUCAGUAACGGCGAGUGAAGCGGUAACAGCUCAAAUUUGAAAUCUGGGUCUUUCAGGCUCCGAGUUGUAAUUUGUAGAAGAUGCUUUGGGUGCGGCCCCGGUCUAAGUUCCUUGGAACAGGACGUCAUAGAGGGUGAGAAUCCCGUAUGUGAUCGGUGGCUUGCGCCCGUGUAAAGCUCUUUCGACGAGUCGGGUUGUUUGGGAAUGCAGCUCUAAAUGGGUGGUAAAUUUCAUCUAAAGCUAAAUAUUGGCCAGAGACCGAUAGCGCACAAGUAGAGUGAUCGAAAGAUGAAAAGGACUUUGGAAAGAGAGUUAAACAGUACGUGAAAUUGUUGAAAGGGAAGCGCUUGCAACCAGACUUGCGCGGGGUUGAUCAUCCGGGGUUCUCCCCGGUGCACUCGGCCUCGCUCAGGCCAGCAUCGGUUUCGGUGGUUGGAUAAAGGCCUUGGGAAUGUGACUUCUUUCGGGGAGUGUUAUAGCCCUCGGUGCAAUGCAGCCUACCGGGACCGAGGACCGCGCUUCGGCUAGGAUGCUGGCGUAAUGGUUGUAAGCGACCCGUCUUGAAACACGGACCAAGGAGUCUAACAUCUAUGCGAGUGUUUGGGUGUCAAACCCAUACGCGUAAUGAAAGUGAACGGAGGUGAGAACCCUUAAGGGUGCAUCAUCGACCGAUCCUGAUGUCUUCGGAUGGAUUUGAGUAAGAGCAUAGCUGUUGGGACCCGAAAGAUGGUGAACUAUGCCUGAAUAGGGUGAAGCCAGAGGAAACUCUGGUGGAGGCUCGCAGCGGUUCUGACGUGCAAAUCGAUCGUCAAAUUUGGGCAUAGGGGCGAAAGACUAAUCGAACCAUCUAGUAGCUGGUU